rnacentral:rRNA from 1 species
GUGCCAGCCGCCGCGGUAAAACGUAGGAGCCUAGCGUUAUCCGAAUUUACUGGGCGUAAAGCGCGUGCAGGCGGCUGAGUAAGUGGAUUGUGAAAUCUCCCGGCUCAACUGGGAGGGGACGGUCCAGACUGCUCGGCUGGAGGCAGGGAGAGGGAGGUGGAAUUCCCGGUGUAGUGGUGAAAUGCGUAGAGAUCGGGAGGAACACCUGUGGCGAAAGCGGCCUCCUGGCCCUGACCUGACGCUGAGAUGCGAAAGCUAGGGGAGCGAACGGGAUUAGAAACCCCAGUAGUCC